GUUGAUUCAGGCCACGAAAUGAAAAUUGAAGAUUUUGCAGGUUCAAUUGGAUGAAAUUAGAAGUUAGAGGACUGAAAUUGCAAAAGAAAAUGACUUAAAAGAAUCAAGAAUCGAAUUCGGGGACCUAAACACAAAGUUUGAAAGAUGUAUAAUUGGGCGACUCGCCGAUUAUAAAUUCAGAAAUCAACAUCAGUGACUUCAAACUUGGCUUGGGUGAAUACCCCAUUUUCUACUGGAUGACAGCCCAGGCCAAAAUCUAAAAUCGCGAACAGUUUCAUUUUUCAUUCCAAAUUCUACAUGAAAGUCAUUUUCUUGCACGAUUUUUGACCUAAUUUCACCUUUGCAAAUACAAAACAUGGCUAGACAAUAUGGAGAGCAUCUUUUAUGCAACAAAAAACUCAAGAACUUGAGGAAAUCAUGUUGAAGAAGAGGGCAAAAGUCAAUUUUGUGAGAGAUUUCAACCGAAGAAUUGCAAGAAGAUUAUCGAUGAGACUUCAUACCUGAAAAUUUGAAAAAUGAUUGGGAGAACAAUUCAAGAGAUAUCAAGAAUACAUCAUUUCUCUUCAAUAUACUUGGCUAGAUUUCUACAUUGCGAG
rnacentral:lncRNA from 1 species